UACGAAGGGUGCAAGCGUUGUUCGGAUUUAUUGGGCGUAAAGCGUGCGCAGGCGGGUCAGCAAGUCAGGUGUGAAAUCUCGGGGCUCAACCCCGAAAGUGCGCCUGAAACUAUUGAUCUAGAAUGCUAGAGAGGGAAGGGGAAUUUCUCAUGUAGGGGUAAAAUCCGUAGAGAUGAGAAGGAACACCAGAGGCGAAGGCGCCUUCCUGGAUAGAUAUUGACGCUGAGGCACGAAAGCGUGGGGAGCAAACAGG
rnacentral:rRNA from 1 species